GAUGAACGCUGGCGGCGUGCCUAAUACAUGCAAGUCGAGCGAACAGACGAGGAGCUUGCUCCUCUGACGUUAGCGGCGGACGGGUGAGUAACACGUGGAUAACCUACCUAUAAGACUGGGAUAACUUCGGGAAACCGGAGCUAAUACCGGAUAAUAUAUUGAACCGCAUGGUUCAAUAGUGAAAGACGGUUUUGCUGUCACUUAUAGAUGGAUCCGCGCCGCAUUAGCUAGUUGGUAAGGUAACGGCUUACCAAGGCGACGAUGCGUAGCCGACCUGAGAGGGUGCUCGGCCACACUGGAACUGAGACACGGUCCAGACUCCUACGGGAGGCAGCAGUAGGGAAUCUUCCGCAAUGGGCGAAAGCCUGACGGAGCAACGCCGCGUGAGUGAUGAAGGUCUUCGGAUCGUAAAACUCUGUUAUUAGGGAAGAACAAAUGUGUAAGUAACUAUGCACGUCUUGACGGUACCUAAUCAGAAAGCCACGGCUAACUACGUG
rnacentral:rRNA from 1 species